UACGAAGGGGCUAGCGUUGUUCGGAUUUACUGGGCGUAAAGCGCACGUAGGCGGAUAGUUAAGUGAGGGGUGAAAUCCCAGGCUCAACCCUGGAACUGCCUUUCAUACUGGCUAUCUAGAGUCCGGAAGAGGUGAGUGGAACUCCUAGUGUAGAGGUGGAAUUCGUAGAUAUUAGGAAGAACACCAGUGGCGAAGGCGGCAUCCUGGACCGGCAUUGACGCUGAGGAGCGAAGCCAGGGAGCAAACGGG
rnacentral:rRNA from 1 species